GACGUAGGGCGCGAGCGUUGUCCGGAUUUAUUGGGCGUAAAGGGCUCGUAGGUGGCCAACUAAGUCAGACGUGAAAUCCCUCGGCUUAACCGGGGAACUGCGUCUGAUACUGGAUGGCUUGAGUUCGGGAGAGGGAUGCGGAAUUCCAGGUGUAGCGGUGAAAUGCGUAGAUAUCUGGAGGAACACCGGUGGCGAAGGCGGCAUCCUGGACCGACACUGACACUGAGGAGCGAAAGCCAGGGGAGCAAACGGG
rnacentral:rRNA from 1 species